AGCCAUUUUUUGGCUGCGAAGGAAGACGAGAUCAGAACAAUGAGAGCAAGUGGAAGAGAUCAAUAGUUGCAGCUAGCAAUGGCAGAAAAAGCAGCUGCACCUCAACAACAGAUGAUGUCGUACUAUGAUCAUGUCCAAAAGCGAAGAGAAGACAAAGGCUGYCUCUAUGCUUUUUUGUUUACACUAUGUUGCUGCUGUUGCUGCUACGAGACUUGUGAGUGUUGUGUGGAUGGCAUCUGCUGCUGCUCUUAGCCUCUCUCUACAAACUAUAUGCUCCUCUCUUUAAUGGACCUCUGCUUCCUAAAAAUAGUUUCCUAUUUUUUUAAAAUCAAACUUUUUAGUGAUCAUAUCAUCGUUCAGAUUAUUAUUCUUUUAAAUUUUGUUUUUUUUUAUUUCUAAUAUGAACCUAGCUUAUCGGUAAUUGACGCUUAUCUCUAACCGAAAGGUCACCGGUUUUAAUCUUC